GCCCAGGCACAGUGGCGCACACCUGUAAUUCCAGCAGCUUGGGAGGCUGAGGCAGGAGGAUCACAUGUUCAAAGCCAGCCUCAGCAACUGUGAGGUACUAAGCAACUCAGUGAGAUCCUGUCUCUU
rnacentral:sRNA from 1 species